rnacentral:rRNA from 1 species
GACGAACGCUGGCGGCGUGCUUAACACAUGCAAGUCGAACGGUAAGGCCCUUCGGGGUACACGAGUGGCGAACGGGUGAGUAACACGUGGGUGAUCUGCCCUGCACUUCGGGAUAAGCCUGGGAAACUGGGUCUAAUACCGGAUAGGACCACUGCCUGCAUGGGUGGGGGUGGAAAGCUUUUGCGGUGUGGGAUGGGCCCGCGGCCUAUCAGCUUGUUGGUGGGGUGAUGGCCUGUCAAGGCGACGACGGGUAGCCGGGCUGAGAGGGUGACCGGCCACACUGGGACUGCGAUACUGCCCAGACUCCUACGGGAGGCAGCAGUGGGGAAUAUUGCACAAUGGGCGCAAGCCUGAUGCAGCGACGCCGCGUGAGGGAUGACGGCCUUCGGGUUGUAAACCUCUUUCAGCACCGACGAAGCGCAAGUGACGGUAGGUGCAGAAGAAGGACCGGCCAACUACGUGCCAGCCGCCGCGGUAA